GAACAUGAGAGUUAUUCACUGGCCAGCACUCCGCCCCAUACGACAUGGCAGGUCUAACCAGAGUUCUAUAAAAUUUUCCCUUGAGUUUAUGUGGAACUUUCUUGUCACACAGGAAUCCUGAUGCAAGCCUCCACUUUGACCACCCCGCUCAUAUACGAUGAGUGACAUCCCCGUCAAUCUCUCCGUCCCCCUGAAUCACCGACCCAAGAUAUCUGACACUGUCCCUCUUGG
rnacentral:lncRNA from 1 species